AUGAACGCUAGCUACAGGCUUAACACAUGCAAGUCGAGGGGCAGCAUGGUCUUAGCUUGCUAAGGCCGAUGGCGACCGGCGCACGGGUGAGUAACACGUAUCCAACCUGCCGUCUACUCUUGGACAGCCUUCUGAAAGGAAGAUUAAUACAAGAUGGCAUCAUGAGUUCACAUGUUCACAUGAUUAAAGGUAUUCCGGUAGACGAUGGGGAUGCGUUCCAUUAGAUAGUAGGCGGGGUAACGGCCCACCUAGUCUUCGAUGGAUAGGGGUUCUGAGAGGAAGGUCCCCCACAUUGGAACUGAGACACGGUCCAAACUCCUACGGGAGGCAGCAGUGAGGAAUAUUGGUCAAUGGGCGCAGGCCUGAACCAGCCAAGUAGCGUGAAGGAUGACUGCCCUAUGGGUUGUAAACUUCUUUUAUAAAGGAAUAAAGUCGGGUAUGUAUACCCGUUUGCAUGUACUUUAUGAAUAAGGAUCGGCUAACUCCGUGCCAGCAGCCGCGGUAAUACGGAGGAUCCGAGCGUUAUCCGGAUUUAUUGGGUUUAAAGGGAGCGUAGAUGGAUGUUUAAGUCAGUUGUGAAAGUUUGCGGCUCAACCGUAAAAUUGCAGUUGAUACUGGAUAUCUUGAGUGCAGUUGAGGCAGGCGGAAUUCGUGGUGUAGCGGUGAAAUGCUUAGAUAUCACGAAGAACUCCGAUUGCGAAGGCAGCCUGCUAAGCUGCAACUGACAUUGAGGCUCGAAAGUGUGGGUAUCAAACAGGAUUAGAUACCCUGGUAGUCCACACGGUAAACGAUGAAUACUCGCUGUUUGCGAUAUACUGCAAGCGGCCAAGCGAAAGCGUUAAGUAUUCCACCUGGGGAGUACGCCGGCAACGGUGAAACUCAAAGGAAUUGACGGGGGCCCGCACAAGCAGUGGAGUAUGUGGUUUAAUUCGAAGCAACGCGAAGAACCUUACCAGGUCUUGACAUCCUACUAACGAGAUAGAGAUAUGUUAGGUGCCCUUCGGGGAAAGUAGAGACAGGUGGUGCAUGGUUGUCGUCAGCUCGUGCCGUGAGGUGUCGGCUUAAGUGCCAUAACGAGCGCAACCCUUGUUGUCAGUUACUAACAGGUUCCGCUGAGGACUCUGACAAGACUGCCAUCGUAAGAUGUGAGGAAGGUGGGGAUGACGUCAAAUCAGCACGGCCCUUACGUCCGGGGCUACACACGUGUUACAAUGGGGGGUACAGAGGGCCGCUACCACGCGAGUGGAUGCCAAUCCCCAAAACCUCUCUCAGUUCGGACUGGAGUCUGCAACCCGACUCCACGAAGCUGGAUUCGCUAGUAAUCGCGCAUCAGCCACGGCGCGGUGAAUACGUUCCCGGGCCUUGUACACACCGCCCGUCAAGCCAUGGGAGCCGGGGGUACCUGAAGUGCGUAACCGCGAGGAGCGCCCUAGGGUAAAACUGGUGACUGGGGCU
rnacentral:rRNA from 1 species